ensembl:lncRNA
GGCUUGUAAAAUCAGCUGCAAGUGUGUAAUGGGGGUGGCUUGGCUCUCUUCACAAAAGAGACGGAGCCCAAAGCAAGACCUGUGGAUGUGAAGAAAUGGGCUCUGAAAGCGCCUGUCCCGCACGUCCCUGCUGUUUGAGUGCUUUUCAGCCAAGAGACCAUCUCGGACCAGAUGAACUUUGGGAUGGAGAUUGUCCCUCCUCCAUUCUUCUGGUGGACUCUUUAUUGACCUUCCUGUGGGGAAGCAUUCUAUUAGGGGGGUCUUUGACCCACCCUCCAAGAAAAGCAGGAGACACGGUGAAGCCUGUGCUGGUGGCAGUCACAAGAAGAGCUGUCUGUGCUCAGGUGGCUUCCAGGGCUGUCUGUGCUCAGGGAAAGCUGCCCGCCUGCACAGCGGUACCCACCUCUGAAUAGUUUGCUAUUCUGGGCCCUGUGCAAUUUGGAGACUGACAACUUACCUUAACUGUUGGAGCACCAACCACUUCACAGAGCUCUCCCAGGCACUGCAGUCCCUGCUUCCUGCAUGGAAAGCAUCACCGAUACCAAGCAGGUGGAGAGGGUGGCCUUUCAUAGGAUCAUAGCCUUCAGGACUCUGGGGUGCCACAACUCCUGUUUGAAACAUAUAAUUGCUGUGGCAUUCAGUGCAACUGACGACAGGGAAGCUCGAACCUGGCAACUGCUACCUUAAAAAGUAAUAGAAGAAGGAAGCAAAAACCCCUGGGGAAGCUAUGCAUACAUAGCAAAGGAGGAGCAAUGGGCUUGCAUUGGUAAACUGCUCCAUAGGGCACCCAUUCAGUGCUAUAAAGAAGGCAUCCAGGCUGUGUGUUUCCCAGCUCCUGCAGCGGUAGGAUGGACCAUGAGUGUGCAUAGGAAGGUGCGUGAAGGCAGGCUAUGCUUUCCUGGGCCAGUUCUCUCCCUCUGAGGCUGCUCCGUGCAGAGCCAGCAGUGUGUGCAGCACUGACCAACGUGGUAUUUGAGAGCUUGAGAUCUCACCGUCUACUUUCUCUUUCCAAUUGCCCUCCCACUGUUGUUCUACAGCAUGCGGUGCCUUCAGCCGUGGUUCAGCUGCCAAAGAAGGUGGGGGAGUGCUGUGCUCCCCAGCUCCAUGCGGACCGGGAGAGAGGCAGAGAAACAGAGGAGGCAGGUGCUAUUCUGCAGGUAAUGAAAGCGAUCAGCUGGCUGCCCAUGCAGCACAGCCCUCCUGCCCUCCCCAGUCCUGCUCCCUGCCUUGCCAGGAGCGCACUUGGGUAGAAAGGUCUGAAAAAUCAGGACAGCUUCUAUUCUAUGGGAACAAAAGGUUUCCUUUGUUGUAAUUCCUCUGUUGGGCUCUGCACGAGGCCCUCGCAUGGGGCCCUGCAGCACGUGCCCUGCAUCAUGGGGACAAAAGCAGAUUACUGCAGGGAUGCCUGAAAAGGAGCCAUGACUUGUUCCCUUGUUGCUACAAUCUUGUUUACAGGCUGAGCUUCGCAGGGAGCAAUUCACACAGGUUUCUUUUGCAUUAUAAUAGUAAAGAUUUUUCUUGGUGGGAGAAAAAAAAGAGGAGAGAGGGUGAGGUGAGGAUUUAUCACAGAGCCUUGCCUGAAAUGAUUUAGGCUGUUAAGACCAUUUAUGCUGAAGGAAGUGAUCAGUUUCUGCUUCCCAAACGUCGUCUCCCAGUGCCGUGGGCCUGAUUCAGCAGGGCAGCUCCAUGUGAAGAGAAACGAAGUUGAUGAAGUAUUAGGAGGAGAUGACGGCAGCUAAAGGGGAGUUCAGUGGUUGUCCUUCACUUUUGUCUUCUGUCUUUUCAAGCUUAAGGCAGCAACUUCCAAAAUUCUUCGUGAGCCAAUCAGAGCACUGAUGGAGGGAACACCUUCAGCCACUGCACCUUAACAGCCACCUCGAGUGGCCCUGUGCUGGGUUUUUAAUCAUAUGAUGGCUUUUAAUUGAUGCUUUCUGUAAUAAACGAGGGGCUGCUGUGUUUUCACUGGGUUAUUCACUUGCUUCUGUAGUAGCUUUCAGUUGCAUGAUGCACAAACGGAGUGCAGCCUUCAGAAGUGACCCGUGGGACUUGAGGGCUGAUCCACCGCUACUGAAACGGUAGGACCAAAUUCUGCUGCCUGCUGGAUGCUGGGCCUCAAAGCAGGGGUGCAGAGAGGUGUAGAAAGCAGCAGUGCUCCCUGCUGAGCUCCGUGCAUGGGGCUGCUGCUCAUGGCUGGUGGGACAAAGCACUGCAGUGCAGACUGUGCUGCUGAACGCCAACAUAGGCUGAGCACUGGGGGGGCUGCAGCUCCUUUGAGGGCAGGUAGAGGACUUCCAUUUUAUUUUACUUUCCUUUCCCCUUUCCCCUCCUUUCCUUUUUCCUUACCGUUUUCCUUUCCCCUCCUUUCCUUUCCCUUUCCCCUCCUGUCCUUUUUCCUUUCCUUUUUCCUUUCCCUUUCCCCUCCUGUCCUUUUUCCUUUUCUUUUUCCUUUUCUUUUCCCUUUCCUUUUUCCCUUCCCCUUUCCCCUCCUGUCCUUUUCCUUUUUCCUUUUCCUUUUCCCUUUCCUUUUUCCCUUCCCCUUCCCCUUUCCCCUUUCCACUCCUGUCCUUUUCCUUUUUCCCUUUCCUUUUUCCCUUUCCCUUUCCCCUCCUGUCCUUUUCCUUUUUCCCUUUCCUUUUUCCUUUUCUUUUUCCUUUCUUUUCCCCUUUCCCCCC